rnacentral:rRNA from 1 species
CCUACGGGUGGCAGCAGUGAGGAAUAUUGGUCAAUGGGCGCGAGCCUGAACCAGCCAAGUAGCGUGAAGGAUGACUGCCCUACGGGUUGUAAACUUCUUUUAUAAAGGAGUAAAGUGAGGCACGUGUGCCUUUUUGUAUGUACUUUAUGAAUAAGGAUCGGCUAACUCAGUGCCAGCAGCGGCGGUAAUACGGUGGGUCCGAGCGUUAUCCGGAUUUAUUGGGUUUAAAGGGAGCGUAGAUGGGUUGUUAAGUCAGUUGUGAAAGUUUGGGGCUCAACCGUAAAAUUGCAAUUGAUACUGGCAGUCUUGAGUACAGUUGAGGUAGGCGGAAUUCGAGGUGUAGCGGUGAAAUGCGUAGAUAUCACGAAGAACUCCGAUUGCGAAGGCAGCUUACUAAACUGCCACUGACAUUGAUGCUCGAAAGUGUGGGUAGCAAACAGGAUUAGAUACCCUGGUAGUC